rnacentral:tRNA from 1 species
GAGGGUAUAGCUCAGUGGUAGAGCACAUGUUUACUAGCAUGCAUGAGGCCCUGGGUUCAAUCCCCAGUAAUUCCA